rnacentral:sRNA from 1 species
CCCCUCCUUCUCAAGUGAGGAAUAGCAGAGCAAAUUUUAUUUGGAACUUAAACCAAUAGUUAUAACCAAUAGUUUCAACCUCCUGCCUCACCACUCCUUCCCUCCUGAGCUCUUUCCCCACACCUCAAAAAGAGUACAAAGUGAUUCCAUCUGCAGAGGUAAAUUCUUUGUUUAAAAAAGUACUGUUUUUCUUUCUUUUAUCUUUUCUGGUUCUCCUAGGUAUCAGAACAAGGUUUAAUAGAAAUCCUUAAAAAAGUAAGCCAACAAACAGAAAAGACAACAACAGUGAAAUUUAACAGAAGAAAAGUAAUGGACUCUGAUGAAGAUGACGAUUAUUGAACUACAAGUGCUCACAGACUAGAACUUAACGGAACAAGUCUAGGACAGAAGUUAAGAUCUGAUUAUUUACUUUGUUUAUUGUCUAUAUGCCUUUUAAAAAAAUAAACUUGUUAUGCAAAAUAAAA